rnacentral:tRNA from 1 species
GGAAGCAUUGAGCAAUUGGUUGGCUCGCCUGACUGAAAUGCGUUUUUACGCAUUCAACGAAUCUUAUUUAUAAAAAUAAAAAUUGUUGAGUUAAAAUCUGAUUUCAUAAUGAACGUGUAGGUUCGAGUCCUACUGCUUCCA